GCAACAGACAGAAACAGGAGGAAGUUGAUAGCUUUAAAACAAAGCAGCGACCCUUGAGGUUACUGAUUAGGAAGUAAGUCCCCUUGAACUCAGCGAGAAUUACUCCUGAAUAAACGUGGAGGGCUGGCCUGCCAAUUGCAUUGUAAUGGGGGGCGGGGAGAUCACUGCAUGUUGUGUUGGACCUCCCAAGUUUGGGAAAAACAAUUGCAGGAGAGUUUUAAAUGUGCGCUGAAGUGCAAUAAGUAUGCAGCUGUGCGAGAGGCAAAUUCCAGAGGCAUAGCCAUUUAAGCCUUGCAGUAACUGAAAAAGGGUAACCAAUUUAUUGCAACAUAACCAUUUAUUCACUCUAAACCAGGUCUGGAGAGUGUCAGGUCAGGAAUGGGUGAGUAAAGGCAGCCCUCCACAGCUCCCUGUCUUGGUACUCUCCCAAGCCAUGCCCCCUCCUGGCUGUGCAUCACACCCUCCUGCUUCACCUACCAGAGAUGCGUUGCGGUACUCAUUAGGCCUGGCACUCCUGUUCAGAUCCUGUAUUUCCUAAUGAGGAGUUAAAUCCACUCGCUUCGUGUGAUUGACCACUGGAUCACUCCUGUCAAUAAACAACGUGAGUGAGAGCGAUCAAAAUAGGUGUGAUUUCUGGAGAGCAGAUGCCAAAGAAGGUCGGAUCCUGUGCCUCUCAUAGGACGUUGCCCAGACUGUUGCAAUUUUCUGGUGGGAUUGAGUCACCAGCAAAUUCAGGCGGCACAGUUAUUAUUUACAGUGGUACCUCGGGUUACAAACGCUUCGGGUUACAGACGCUUCGGGUUACAAACUCCGCUAACCAGGAAGUGGUUGCUCCAGGUUAAGAACUUUGCCCCAGAAUAAGAACAGAAAUCGUUCGCCAGCGGCACAGCGGCAGCAGAAGGCCACAUUAGCGAAAGCACGCCUCAGGUUAAGAACUGUUUCAGGUUAAGAACGGACCUCUGGAACAAACUAAGUUCUUAACCUGAGGUACCACUGUAUUUGUUUGUUAAAUCUGUAUGCCGCCCUUCAUCUAUAGAUCUCAGGGCUGUUCACAAUGUAAAACUGGCUUGGCACUCUUGUGUAAGAACUUUGCCAGCCCCCCCGCCCCGAACUUUGUGUGAUAGGCAACUGCUCUAGGAAGUCUGGGAUAACAGUAGAUUGCUGCAAUGUCGCAAAGCUUCCCUACAGACAAAUCGGAAUGAAUGUUUGAUAAAGGGUUGAUGUUGCCUAAUCAACUUCUGCAAACUUUGUGCAAGUCCACCACUCCACAAGGAUGAAUAAUAAUAAUAAUAAUAAUAAUAAUAAUAAUAAUAAUUUAUUAUUUAUACCCCGCCCAUCUGGCUGGGCCUCCCCAGCCACUCUGGGCGGCUUCCGUAGAAACCAAAAAUGCACUAAAAUAUCACACGUUAAAAACUUCCCUGAACCUUAAGAUGUCUUCUGAAUGUCAGGUAGUUGUUUAUCGCUUUGACAUCUGGUGGGAGGGCGUUCCACAGGGCGGGUGCCACUACCGAGAAGGCCCUCUGCCUGGUUCCCUGUAGCUUUGCAGGGAAUGGGUUUGCAAGUUAUUUCUCUCUCCCUGUUGUUAACUUUAUUUUGCGUCUGCAUUGGUUCUUCUUCCAAUACAAAAAACAGGCUUGUCUGGAAGUGACCAUAGCAAUAUAUGCGAUGCCAUGUUUGGUAGGCAGAGAAACACAAGGGGGACCUGCAACAAAAUGUGCCCCCUCUUCAACUGUGUUCUACCUCCUCGAAUGUUCAGUGACCAUCGAUGAAAGCAAAAAGUUCAUUUGCUACCAAACUUUUUAAAAAUUUCAACGGCCUUUGACCUCCUUCAUCUCUGGCCACCGUAAUCCCAAGCAGGCACCUUCCAUUUUAUGUGCAGGAGAAAGCAAGUGGAUUUCUUUUUAAAUCAGUGGAAGGUUUGGGUAUGCAGCUCUUUGAAAUAAGUGGCAGACAGCAGUUCGUGAGCUUAGAUUAGGGACUCGCUGUGAGGGAGUGGGAAUUCGCAACAAAGCACAGUCACAUUAUAUGUUAUACAUACCUUUCAACUGUAUAGAAGCCUCAAAUACCAAUAUUUAUUUUGUAAAGGUUCUCUUCCAUAUUUACACCAAUCAUAUACUGGGCCACUUUCCUCCAAAUUCAGGCCCCUUCUCCCUUCGACAUGUCAUUUCCCAGUACUAAUUUCCCAUUUUUCCACAACAAAGGUUCUUAAAAACCCCUGUUCCCUGCAUUGUAUCCUUCUGGAUACACCCAAAAGGGACUCCUUGAAUCUGGCAGAGAAUCUCUUCCUCCCACUGAACGCCCAUGCCCUACACCCACCAUUAAGCAGACGUGAGUCAUACCCAUUCCUUUGUGGGAUAUCGACUUCCCCGUAGGGAAUUUGCCUUACGUGAAGCACCUUUUUCUAGUUGCUCCUCUAUUCCAAGCACACAAGGGGGAGCCAAUCGCUAAACAGUUUUAACAGGAAAUGCCUUUAUCCCAGAACGGGUUUGCAAGUUAUUUUUCUCUCCCUGUUGUUAACUUUAUUUUGCAUCUGCAUUGGUUCUUCUUCCACUGCAAAAAAUAUUUGUAAUUCAUUUGAGCCCUGUCACAAAGAUGCAACUGCAUUUCUUCCAGCCCCGCGAGGGACCGUAGCUGGAAGCAUCUGGAAUGAACAUCAUCAACAUGGAUGCACAAAUCCAGCCUUCACAGGGGCUUAUUUUCAAAGCAUUGUAAACGGACUUUCCCGAUGCUGUGUUCCAUUUCCGAUGAUUUCGGCUUCGGUGCUCCUCACAGCUGGCCUGGAUCUCUGUCAGCUAGAGCGGCUUGGCAAUCAGUUCCCAAGAGGAUGCUACUGAACCUGUGAGCGCAUUCAGGUUCCCCAUAGAUUUCUCUGAGCCAUCAGAAGGUGUGGUUCUUCUCCAGGUGGCCUGUUUGUGGAGCAUUCAUCCUGAAGGCUGGCGCAAAGCUAAUGCAGAGAUUAGACAACGCCUCUUCUUUAUUGAGUGACCGAUAUCUCGUUAUACAUAUUCCCAUUAAUAAUCUGCUCAUUCCACACUUUGUAGUGUACCCCCAUCACUUUCCUAACUAUACAAAGCCUUUUUAAAAAAAGUGGGUUUGUUGUGCCAGAACAUUUUAAUCCACUUUGAUUGCAGAAACCUAAAUUUCCGGUAUGCGACUGAACGAAUCCCUCCAACAAAAUGCUGACAGCCUGGAGGCGACCUUGAAUGGAACGAUUGAGCAUUGCAAUGUGGAAAAAGAUUAAUUCCUUGACUCUCAUGAGUCGGCCUUGGCUUUAAUCGGCCAUUGGCCUCUUCUGCCUUGACUGAUAAGAUGGAAGGAGGAGAUUCCCUCGAUCUUCCCUAGCAGUGACAGCCCGAAAAUGACCGAUAUAUCGAUCUGUCCAAUUCAUUUAAGGCGUUCACUGCUGUUCAGAAAUAGCUCAGCCCCCACCCCCUUCACAUUUGCUCACUUAACAGCAUGUUUUCGUUCCCCUGUGGGCUUGGACCGAGAAACGAAAAUCCCUGUGUAUUCCACUUCCUGAACUAGGCACUCUUUACUUGCAAC